GCGAAUGGCUCAUUAAAUCAGUUAUCGUUUAUUUGAUAGUACCUUACUACUUGGAUAACCGUGGUAAUUCUAGAGCUAAUACAUGCUAAAAAUCCCGACCUCUGGACGGGAUGUAUUUAUUAGAUAAAAAACCAAUGCCUUCGGGCUUCCUGGUGAUUCAUAAUAACUUCACGAAUCGCAUGGCCUUGCGCCGGCGAUGGUUCAUUCAAAUUUCUGCCCUAUCAACUUUCGAUGGUAGGAUAGUGGCCUACCAUGGUUUCAACGGGUAACGGGGAAUUAGGGUUCGAUUCCGGAGAGGGAGCCUGAGAAACGGCUACCACAUCCAAGGAAGGCAGCAGGCGCGCAAAUUACCCAAUCCCGACACGGGGAGGUAGUGACAAUAAAUACUGAUACAGGGCCCAUUUGGGUCUUGUAAUUGGAAUGAGUACAAUUUAAAUCCUUUAACGAGGAACAAUUGGAGGGCAAGUCUGGUGCCAGCAGCCGCGGUAAUUCCAGCUCCAAUAGCGUAUAUUAAAGUUGUUGCAGUUAAAAAGCUCGUAGUUGAACUUUGGGUCUGGGUGACCGGUCCUCCUAAUCGAGUGCACUGGAAACCCGGAUCUUUCCUUCUGGAGAACCGCAUGCUCUUUACUGGGUGUGUUGGGGAACCAGGACUUUUACUUUGAAAAAAUUAGAGUGUUCAAAGCAGGCAUAUGCUCGAAUACAUUAGCAUGGAAUAAUAGAAUAGGACGUGCGGUUCUAUUUUGUUGGUUUCUAGGACCGCCGUAAUGAUUAAUAGGGAUAGUCGGGGGCAUCCGUAUUCGAUUGUCAGAGGUGAAAUUCUUGGAUUUUUCGAAGACGAACUACUGCGAAAGCAUUUGCCAAGGAUGUUUUCAUUAAUCAGGAACGAAAGUUGAGGGAUCGAAGACGAUCAGAUACCGUCGUAGUCUCAACCAUAAACUAUGCCGACUAGGGAUCGGGCGAUGUUUUAUUCUGACUCGCUCG
rnacentral:rRNA from 1 species